rnacentral:rRNA from 1 species
GACGAACGCUGGCGGCGUGCCUAACACAUGCAAGUCGAGCGGAGUCGAUCGACGGAAGCCUUCGGGCGGAAGAUGGUUGACUUAGCGGCGGAUGGGUGAGUAACGCGUGGGCAACCUGCCUCGAAGACCGGGAUAACAGCCCGAAAGGGCUGCUAAUACCGGAUGUGGUCAAGGAUCCGCAUGGAUUUUUGAUUAAAGGGGAAACCCGUUUCGAGAUGGGCCCGCGUCCUAUCAGCUAGUUGGUGAGGUAAAAGCUCACCAAGGCGACGACGGGUAGCCGGCCUGAGAGGGUGACCGGCCACACUGGAACUGAGACACGGUCCAGACUCCUACGGGGGGCAGCAGUGGGGAAUCUUCCACAAUGGGCGAAAGCCUGAUGGAGCGACGCCGCGUGAGCGAAGAAGGCCUUCGGGUUGUAAAGCUCUGUCUGGAGGGACGAAGGAAGUGACGGUACCUCCGGAGGAAGCCACGGCUAACUACGUG